CCCUCCCCUCACCCCUAUAAGGAAUAAGCUUCUCCCCCACUCUGCAGAACCAGCAAUCGACCUGUUGUUUAUUCUCCCUGUCUUCUGCCGCAGCAUGGGCCGCUAGUCGAUUUCUAUUGAUUGGGGAAGGCCAAGACCUCUGUUUCCUAACAGAGGGAGGGAGAGGACUGGGGACACUGAUAAUGUUUAUUUCGUGAACGUGGAAAUGUGAAUUACUAACUGCUGCUUGAGACAGGAUUUGCUCUUCGGGAAGUUUAAUAUGAGUCUAGGAGAGCUCGGAAGUUUCUUUCUUGCAAGAUGGAUUCUCCCGCAGUCUUGUUUUGGAUUUCAAAGCUGCAGUCUUCCUAAACCACCAUGGGGCUUCCAGUGGUCUCAGAGGUCAUCAAGGGCCUCUCCAGAGCAGUCAACGCCCCUUCCUCCACCAGCACUUCUCAACUUUGGCUGCCCAGUGGAACAGUCACCUGGUAAGAUGAUAAAAAUCCUGAUGCCUGCAUCCCCAGGCCAAUUAAGUCAGGCUUGGGAGGGCAGGACCCAGGCCUUAGGACUUGUGU
rnacentral:lncRNA from 1 species